GUAACCUGAUUUACAAGAUAAAUAAACAACAACUGCAUUCUUCCACUGCUGUCUAAGUUUUCAUUCCUGCUCUGUCUGUACUUUUAUCCAAUGUAAAAAACACCAUUUCAAAUUUUGCAACAUAAGACUGAAAAGAAGUGCUGGGUCACAUGUACAGUUAUGAAAGAAAGAAACUUGGAAUUCAGGCAAACUUUGGGUGUGUAGGAGGAGGGAGCUUGAUUUGGACUCUUCCAGGAAAUCUUAAAAGUGGUUUUGAUUGAAAAGAAACUUCAGGGUAAAGGAGGAGGAGCUGCGGUGUUCAACCAACAGGACACUGGCAGCCACAGACUGACAUGUCUGGAUUUGUUUCAUUAUCCACACUGCAUUGAAAAUGCCUUUAGGCCCAGGAUUCUGCCAAUCUGGAACUGAAAGUGGUAAAACACCCACAUAGGCCUACCCCCUUACUGUAGAAUGCAAACACAAUACAUUUCCUCAUUAUAAGUGAUAUGCUAAUAUAGACACACUUCAGGUAUAAAAAGAAUCCACAUCCAUCACUCUCGCAUUUACCAGAGUUUUACCUCAGUCAGUUGGAGAAGAAAAUGAGUUUGUCUGAGUUUGAGAUUAAGCUUGCCAGGGAGGUUAAGAAAUACCCCAAUCUUUACAGUUCAAGAGAUCCAAUAAUUAAUUAUAAUGAUUGGAUUAUAGUAGCUCAUAUUCUCAAUAAAGGUAAAAGAGAAAUGGACUUCAGCUUUUGCAGGACAACGUGGAAAAAGUUGAGGAAAAACUAUGUCAGAGCGCAUAAUACAAAGAUCAAGAGCGGCAAUUCAAGUGUUGGACUAAAAGAUCCGAAGAUAUUACAGGAGUUGAACUGGCUCUCCCCCUUCAUAAAACACAAAGCCCAACCGACCAACAUUCCAGGAGGAGAGGGUCUGGUAGCAAGAGGGCGAGGAGAGACUGGAGGCAGUUGUGAUGCGUCGUUGGACAGAUACCACCAUUUCGCCACCUUGUCCACCCCUGCAGCAGACAGCACCUUUACCCCUCCUGUAACCACACACAUCAGACCCUUCAGACAGAUGUCCACCCUAACACAGUCUGGGGACGGCCUCUCUUCAUCUAAACCAAGCUCCAGUUCUACCAGUGGACCAGUCCAACCAAGGAAGAGGACACAGGACAGAGUAGAUCAAGCCCCCAGAAAGAACCCUAAGAAUGCUGAUAAUACCAGAGAGCAUGGGGUCAGUAGUAUGGGAGGUAGUGAUGAAGGUGCCGCCUUACUUGUUCUGUUAGCCGUCGUGAGAGGACAAGGAGAGACUGGAGGAAGUGGUGAGGGGUCGAUGGACAGAUUCCCCUGUCGUUUCACCCCCUUGUCCACCCCUGAAGCAGACAGCACCUUCACCCCUCCUGUAACCACAUCCAUCAGACACCCCAGACUAGGGUUGCAAAGCUACCGGUAAAUUCCUAAAAUUAUCGGAAUCUUCAGUAAUUUUGGUAAAUGCCAUAGAUUCUUUUGUUAAUCUAUGUAAUUUUGGUAAUUUAUACUUUAAUAACUUGUAAAACCUUUCAUCGUUUAUAUAUUAUUCAUUUAUUAUAUCUAUAAAUCGGUUUCCAUUCAAGUGACGACAGAUUUUCAUACGAAUAUUCUAAAAUCCGCAGAAAGAACAUAUGCUCAUUUUCCCACCAGUGGUGUUUCCACCAAACUGACUUGUGAUAAAAAUCAAUGACAGCACACAUGACAAAAAAAGAAUAUAUUUUUCGCUUACAUUUUCACUUACCAAAUUAAAAUGUAAAAUUCAAUGUGUUUCCAAUGCAUUUUCAACUCUACCAUCGCUUUAUAGUUUUGCCUCAAAAAUGGUUGCGUUAAAUAACAAAUGUGCCUACUGUGGUCUUGACAUUUGCACUUUAUCAAUAACUAGUAGAUACAGUGUGGGUAGUUUACAUGGGAUUAUUAUAGAUUUUAUUGGUCAUACAGCUGUAAAUGCAUCGUCACCAGA
rnacentral:lncRNA from 13 species